UACAGAGGGUGCGAGCGUUAAUCGGAAUCACUGGGCGUAAAGCGCACGUAGGCGGAUUUUUAAGUCAGAGGUGAAAUCCUGGAGCUUAACUCCAGAACUGCCUUUGAGACUGCAUCGCUUGAAUCGUGGAGAGGUAAGUGGAAUUCCGAGUGUAGAGGUGAAAUUCGUAGAUAUUCGGAAGAACACCAGUGGCGAAGGCGACUUACUGGACACGUAUUGACGCUGAGGUGCGAAAGCGUGGGGAGCAAACAGG
rnacentral:rRNA from 1 species